GAGUUCUGCUCCAACACCUUCAAAUCGAACGAGGACCUGAAACGGCACCGCCGCUCCCAUACCGACUCUUUCAGGGGAACGCCCGUUCCGAUGCGAUACCUGCCCGAAGGCCUUCACCCAGUUGUCGAAUCUGCGAGCCCACACCAAAAUCCACGAGAAGAAGCGAACGUCGUCAACCAGCGGCUUUGGAUGCAGUAUCUGCCUCCAGGAGCUGGACACCCCGGAGGCCCUCAGCGUGCACCUGAAGACGCAUCAGCAAUACCACCAUCAGUACAACUGUUUGAACUGUGCAAGGACAUGAAACAACAACAACAACAACAGUAGACCUGAUCUAGUUUUUAGGAGUUUAUUAGAUGCAGUGUAUAGGAAACAGUAAGGAACCCCGUAGCGAUUGCGUAGAACCAAAAAAUAUUCGUGUUAAGAUGCUACCAACCCGUUAGACAAAGGAAGAACAAAAAAAAACAACCUCUCCCCGUACUCUGGAAUACGACCGAAGCAUUAUACACAAACCAUGCCAAUAUACACCAGCGCGCGUUAUUUAAUGUUUGAAACAUGUACUAUUGUGAUUGUAUUAGCGAAAUAAAUGUUGUUGUCUGUAGUAAAGCUUAGUUCUUUUAGAAAUGGGACAGUUACGAAUGCGUGUAUCUCGAAAACCGUUCGUUUGACCUAAAUACUUUCUAUGAAGCAAAUGAAGGUAAUUUUAUGAUGAUUCAUGAAAAAUUUUGAAAAAAAUUAUUUAUCGUUUUUUGUAAGAAAAAAAUCUACUUUAUUCUUGGUACCUCCCAUCGGCCAGCGCACACUUUUUUCAUUAAUGAUAUUGAUCAGUUUUUCAAACAUAUACUUCGUCUAAUCUGAAUUUUAAAUUGCUACAUCCUCCUCCUUCAAUUUCUGAUACUUUUAGGUCCAAUACUUCUCUUUUAAAUGAAACUGAGUGCAAUUAAGUGGAUUCAGCUGUUUCGAAAUCAACAAAACUUGGUUAUUUUUGAGCCACUUUAAAGCGUUUUACGUAGAAUUUCUGCUAGCAAAAUCUGACAAUAACGAAGUAAAGCCAUCAUGAGAUUGAACUUAAAGUAUAAUCGGUUAGUCUAGAUCGUUGGUUGCGAAGAGUACUUACAAGAUUACUCUUUCAAGGCUUUUAAAAACAGCGAAAACAAAAGUUUUAUUUUUGAAAAUUGUUGCUUUUUUCAACAGGUGCGGAAUUUUGGCAAAUGAUUAUAUUUUAUACAAAACAACCAGCAAAUACAUACUUUAAUAUGCUCGGGACCUUGCCACGAGCAGACAUGGUAUAGAAUUCAAACGCAGAAAUUUGUUUGAAAUAGGGUAUUUAAUAAGGUUUGUUAUUCAUUAGAAAUCAUCUAUCAUGUUGCCUCGGUACCGGUUAUGCAGCUUACGAGCUCUGGAAAUAGCAAAAAAUUGUUGUUUAAAGUUGGGUUUGAAUGCCUCAUUACUAGGUAACACUUUCAGCUUAUCGGAGAAUUUUUUUUCGAACAUUUCAGCGAUCCACCCUAAGUUUUGAGCUUAUUCCAAAUAAAAAAUGCUGCUAAUGAGACUUGACUUCUCAGAUGACCCUUAACCGUAGUUGCCGAUCAUGUGCUUCACUUUAAUGCUUAAUUUGAAAUUUUUGGACAUUUUUGACAGUGUUUGCAUACUUUUCCACCACUCACACACAGUAAUUCUUUGAAUAAUCAACGGUUUUGUCAGCUAUCAAUUUGAUAAUGAUGGAUUUUGAAGGAAACUGUGCAAAAUUAUUUUUUUCAUUUUCUCUUGCAUCGUUAAUAUCUCAAAAACGCAUUAAGUUAAAAUUUUGAGAAAAAUAUGUCAGAAAGUAGUUUUCACAGGCAGCAAAAUGCUGUCAAAAUUUUGAAUGUCCGAUCACUACUAAACGAGCUAUUAGCAAAACAAAGUGUCCCAUUUCUAAAAGAACUAAGCUUUAUACGUCUGGUAGUUGUA